GUGGGGAAUAUUGGACAAUGGGCGCAAGCCUGAUCCAGCCAUGCCGCGUGAGUGAUGAAGGCCCUAGGGUUGUAAAGCUCUUUCACCGGAGAAGAUAAUGACGGUAUCCGGAGAAGAAGCCCCGGCUAACUUCGUGCCAGCAGCCGCGGUAAUACGAAGGGGGCUAGCGUUGUUCGGAAUUACUGGGCGUAAAGCGCACGUAGGCGGAUAUUUAAGUCAGGGGUGAAAUCCCGGAGCUCAACUCCGGAACUGCCUUUGAUACUGGGUAUCUCGAGUAUGGAAGAGGUGAGUGGAAUUCCGAGUGUAGAGGUGAAAUCCGUAGAUAUUCGGAGGAACACCAGUGGCGAAGGCGGCUCACUGGUCCAUUACUGACGCUGAGGUGCGAAAGCGUGGGGAGCAAACAGGAUUAGAUACCCGGUAGUCC
rnacentral:rRNA from 1 species